rnacentral:rRNA from 1 species
UACGUAGGGGGCAAGCGUUGUCCGGAAUCAUUGGGCGUAAAGAGCGUGUAGGCGGCUUGGUAAGUCCGCUGUGAAAGUCCAGGGCUCAACCCUGGAAUGCCGGUGGAAACUGUCAAGCUUGAGUCCGGAAGAGGCGAGUGGAAUUCCUGGUGUAGCGGUGAAAUGCGCAGAUAUCAGGAGGAACACCAACGGCGAAAGCACUCUGCUGGGCCGACACUGACACUGAGAGACGAAAGCUAGGGGAGCGAAGUGGG